rnacentral:tRNA from 1 species
GCCUGGCUAGCUCAGCAAGUAGUGCAUUAGACUUUUAAUUUGAAGGCCCAGCGUUCAAGUUCCUGUCUAGUUGCCA